rnacentral:rRNA from 1 species
AGCCCUUCGGGGUGGAUCAGUGGCGAACGGGUGAGUAACACGUGGGCAAUCUGCCCUGCACUCUGGGACAAGCCCUGGAAACGGGGUCUAAUACCGGAUAUGACCUUCCUCCGCAUGGGGGUUGGUGUAAAGCUCCGGCGGUGCAGGAUGAGCCCGCGGCCUAUCAGCUUGUUGGUGGGGUAAUGGCCUACCAAGGCGACGACGGGUAGCCGGCCUGAGAGGGCGACCGGCCACACUGGGACUGAGACACGGCCCAGACUCCUACGGGAGGCAGCAGUGGGGAAUAUUGCACAAUGGGCGAAAGCCUGAUGCAGCGACGCCGCGUGAGGGAUGACGGCCUUCGGGUUGUAAACCUCUUUCAGCAGGGAAGAAGCGCAAGUGACGGUACCUGCAGAAGAAGCACCGGCUAACUACGUGCCAGCAGCCGCGGUAAUACGUAGGGUGCGAGCGUUGUCCGGAAUUAUUGGGCGUAAAGAGCUCGUAGGCGGCCUGUCGCGUCGGAUGUGAAAGCCCGGGGCUUAACCCCGGGUCUGCAUUCGAUACGGGCAGGCUAGAGUGUGGUAGGGGAGAUCGGAAUUCCUGGUGUAGCGGUGAAAUGCGCAGAUAUCAGGAGGAACACCGGUGGCGAAGGCGGAUCUCUGGGCCAUUACUGACGCUGAGGAGCGAAAGCGUGGGGAGCGAACAGGAUUAGAUACCCUGGUAGUCCACGCCGUAAACGUUGGGAACUAGGUGUUGGCGACAUUCCACGUCGUCGGUGCCGCAGCUAACGCAUUAAGUUCCC